rnacentral:lncRNA from 1 species
UAAAUGAUAUCGACCACUCAUUAUGAUAGAAAUUCAGAGUUCAAGCUAAGACCGUAAUAUAGUGUUCGAGUACGAGGACUUAAAGUUAAUUGGUCUAUGAUAGUUUUAAGAUAGAUUCAUAGGAAAGUGUUAUGCAUGUGAUAGGUAACAAGAAAUGGGUUGAUGACCAUUUUGGUCUUUGGAAAAAAGAAUACCCCGUAGAUGAGCCCUAGGAAUGAGGUAGGAGCAAAAUGAACCGCCGAAAAAGGACGAGGGAACUUAUUCUCAAGUAAAUCUCGUGUAUAUAAAUUGGAAUUAGGAAUCCAAUUGAUAUGAGGAGAGACCCGAAUCUAUUCUAGAUCGGAAAGUUAAAGUACUAAGGAAUAAGUCGAUACCCUUAGUAAUAGUUCUUUGGAAGCACUAUGAUCAAGAAAAGGCGAUGUGGGAAUUCGAUUCUAGCAUGAAUGAGAAGUACCCAGAAUUAUUUUCUGUGGUACAAAUUUCGUGACGAAAUUUCUUUUAAAGUGGAUAGUAUGUCAUACCCCGACUUAUAAUCCCUGAUUAAGGGCUUUAUUAUUAAUAAUUAGGGUUCGGCAUCCAUUAAUAAUAAAAAACUGGUUUGAUUUAUCUGAUGUGAUUUGAUCGUUAUAUAUGUGUUUUAAUGUGCUUAGUUAAAGAAAAUUUUUAUAAAUAUGGUGCAUAAGUUUCAAUUAGUGAGUUAAGUGUAUUUAUAUGAGCCACAUGAAUUUUAAAUUAUGCAUGAAGUCAUGAAUUUUAUCUAAUUUGAUAGUACAUGUAACACCCCGUACUUUUCCCUAUGUUGUGAGAUAGUGUCUUAACACUAUUGAGAGUACUGAGAUGUCAGAGAGAUUGACUGUCCUAUUAAGAAAAUAGGAAUAAUGAGUUGGAAAUAGAGUCGAGAAAGAAAGAGUGAAAAAAAAAAAAACCUUGAUAAAAAAAAAAAGUCGGUCGGAGAGACGUCUAGUUUGUCUGUGUUUGUCGACUGCUUUGACGUAAUAUUAUGUGAAAUUACGUGACUGAUUGAUUAUGUGAGUUUUGUUACGUAUGUCAUUGUGAGCAAGUUAUUAUGAUUUUUAUUUGAUGACUUUAGCACUUGGAAUUUUAAUUAAGUUUUCAAAGCAAGUGCAGUUUAUUUUUACCGAGAAAUCAAAGAAUGCCGGUUUAUGAAAAUUUUUCCAAACAAAAUAUUUUCAAAUUAUUUUUCCUAUGAUGAAGAAUAUUAUAAUUAAGUGAGUGCACUAAUAUUAGUGCCAUAUUUAUUUUAAAUAUUGGUCACAAGAGUUUUGUGUUAUAGCAUUGCAUUAAUUAGUAAUUAGUCUUUUAUGAUUUUAUUAAUGUAGCUUAACACAUGAUUUAUUCUAGACUACACAACCUUACACACACAUGAUUAUGUUAAUCUAAUAAGCAUGUGAUUAAUUUCCUUAGCCUUACUUGAAGUGGACGUGUGGUAUGAAGAUGAAGGGAAGGGAUUAGUGUAUAGGUUUAGGGGGGACAACUAUUAAAUGGUGAAUAGUGUUGGUCUCAAUCAUCCUCCUAAGCAAAACAAAUUCACUUCAUUUCCCUCAUUUUCUUCACCAUUCGGCCACUCUCAAUUUCUCUCCCUCUCUUCCGAUUUUGCUCCAAAAGAUCACCAUAGAUGAAUCACCAAAGCUUCCAAGUUCACAUCAAGAUCAAAUCCUCCACCAAAUCAACAUAAACACCUUCAAUUCUUAAGAUUUCAAGAGGACCGUGGGUUUAGGUUUGAAGNAUCAAAUCGACUUUUGCUACAGGAUAGAUUUUAUGAAUAGAGUGUUUUGCCUGUGUACGUAUGUCUGUGUGUAUAUGUCUUAAGUUUGAGAUCAAUAGGAUGGGGAACCUUAAGAUAAGUUUAAUUGUCAUAAUGAACUUAUGUUUUGUUAUGUAUAGUAUGUUCAUGGCCCUUCAAGUUCGGGACGAUGUUUCUCGUGUGACUGGGAGGUGAUGAUGUUGGACCUGGCCAGUCCACAUGAUCCAAAUCUCAGUAGACGUCUUUUGGGUUGAAAACCCAUGUGUUUCAACUUUCGGUUGAAAAGCCAGAUGGGUUCAUACUCGAGGUCAUUUUGUUCGACCUAGUAGUUAAUCAUUUCAUACCCUCUGGUCAUUCUUUGAUUCUCUUGAACAAUUUCUACAACACCUUGCUUUGAUGUUGUGUUGAGUUUGAGCCUUGCAACUCGUGAGUUGUCAUAAUAGAUCUCCUUGUUUGAUAAGACCAAGAAGUGUUAGUCUACCGAUGUAGUAUACUACCCAAACUAUGACUUCAUAUAAUUGUGUCUCAUUGUGAUUGGUUGAGAUUAGUUUUUGUCCUAUAAAUGAUAUCGACCACUCAUUAUGAUAGAAAUUCAGAGUCCAAGCUAAGACCGUAAUAUAGUGUUCGAGUACGAGGACUUAAGUUAAUUGGUCUAUGAUAGUUUUAAGAUAAAUUCAUAGGAAAGUGUUAUUCAUGUGAUAGGUAACAAGAAAUGGGUUGAUGACUAUUUUAGUCUUUGGAAAAAAGAAUACCCCGUAGAUGAGCCCUAGGAAUGAGGUAGGAGCAAAAUGAACCGCCGCAAAAGGACGAGGGAACUUAUUCUCAAGUAAAUCUCGUGUAUAUAAAUUGGAAUUAGGAAUCCAAUUGAUAUGAGGAGAGACCCGAAUCUAUUCUAGAUCGGAAAGUUAAAGUACUAAGGAAUAAGUCGAUACCCUUAGUAAUAGUUCUUUGGAAGCACUAUGAUCAAGAAAAGGCGAUGUGGGAACUCGAUUCUAGCAUGAAUGAGAAGUACCCAGAAUUAUUUUCUGUGGUACAAAUUUCGUGACGAAAUUUCUUUUAAAGUGGAUAGUAUGUCAUACCCCGACUUUUAAUCCCUGAUUAAG